GACGAACGCUGGCGGCGUGCUUAACACAUGCAAGUCGAACGGUGAAGCGCCUUCCUUUUUGGUGGGUGUGGAUGAGUGGCGAACGGGUGAGUAACACGUGAGUAACCUGCCCCCUUCUUCUGGAUAACCGCAUGAAAGUGUGGCUAAUACGGGAUAUUCUGGGUCUGUCGCAUGAUGGGUCUGGGAAAGAUAUUGUUUCGGUGGGGGAUGGUCUCGCGGCCUAUCAGCUUGUUGGUGGGGUGAUGGCCUACCAAGGCGGUGACGGGUAGCCGGCCUGAGAGGGUGGACGGUCACACUGGGACUGAGACACGGCCAGGACUCCUACGGGAGGCAGCAGUGAGGAAUAUUGCACAAUGGGCGCAAGCCUGAUGCAGCGACGCCGCGUGAGGGAUGGAGGCCUUCGGGUUGUGAACCUCUUUCGCCAGUGAAGCAGGCCUGCCUCGUUUGUGGGUGGGUUGACGGUAGCUGGAUAAGAAGCGCCGGCUAACUACGUG
rnacentral:rRNA from 1 species